rnacentral:rRNA from 1 species
UACAGGGGGUGCAAACGUUGCUCGGAAUCAUUGGGCGUAAAGCGCACGUAGGCGGUUCGUUAUGCUCGGAUGUGAAAGCCCUUGGCUUAACCGAGGAAGUGCAUCCGAAACUGGCGAGCUAGAGUACGAAAGAGGAUCGCGGAAUUCCCGGUGUAGAGGUGAAAUUCGUAGAUAUCGGGAGGAACACCAGUGGCGAAGGCGAUCACCUGGGGUUGUUCUGACGCUGAGGAGCGAAAGCUAGGGGAGCAAACGGG